AACUGAAAAACUGAUUCUUUAAUACUCUGUUUUUCCUUACAGAAUAGAGAUACAUGAGGAUACCACUGUCUCCAUUUCAGUUAAGAGGACAUGAAAAAAUAAAAGAUAUGGCCAUGGAAUGCAGUCACUUUUUAGAGAUGUGUACUAUAGCCAAUAAAACCUUUGGCUUGGAAAAACAAGAAAGGGUGGGAAAGAAUUCCAUUCUGACCUUUAACUGAACAGAUCAUCUGAUUGAAUCUCCAUACCCUGAAAAAAAUGAAGGAUGUAGCCCAACUGGACCAUAGAAUUGGGCACCAAAAGGAUAUUUGAACACACGCUUUGCUCAGGUCACUGUGAAGUUAGCUAUUCCUAAUUUUCAAGAAACAACACUUCAGAGAACUCCACCUUUACAGUUUUUUGAAUGGAAAUAAUUUCUUCCUUUAUGCCUCCCUUUGGAUGAUGUACUCAGAUGGAUCAUUACUUUACUGCAUUUAUAUGUAAUUGAAAUUAUACGUAUGUUCAAAUGGUAUUAAAAUCAGAAAGAACAGAUACUGUUUUCAGAAAGUUACUUACACUAGACAUUAAAACCAUUUUCAUCUUUUAGGCAUACACACUUCCUGUCUUCCUAAAAGUAUUUAAAUUAUGUUUUCAUAGGACAAAUCACCCAAUUGUGCUUCCAGUGAAACAGAAACACAUUUCUCUUUCAAAUACAUAAAUAAAAAUAAUCGAAAUGGCA
rnacentral:lncRNA from 1 species